CCUACGGGGGGCUGCAGUGGGGAAUUUUGGACAAUGGGGGCAACCCUGAUCCAGCCAUGCCGCGUGAGUGAAGAAGGCCUUCGGGUUGUAAAGCUCUUUCGGCCGGGAAGAAAUCGGCGACUCUAACAUAGUCGCUGGAUGACGGUACCGGACUAAGAAGCACCGGCUAACUCUGUGCCAGCAGCCGCGGUAAUACAGAGGGUGCAAGCGUUGCUCGGAAUUAUUGGGCGUAAAGGGCAGGUAGGUGGUCUCGUUUGUCGCGGGUGAAAUCCCUGAGCUUAACUCAGGAAGUGCCCUCGAAACGGCGAGACUAGAGUUCUGGAGAGGGUCGUGGAAUUCCCGGUGUAGCGGUGAAAUGCGUAGAGAUCGGGAGGAACACCAGAGGCGAAAGCGGCGACCUGGACAGAUACUGACACUCAAGUGCGAAAGCGUGGGGAGCAAACAGGCUUAGAUACCCCUGUAGUC
rnacentral:rRNA from 1 species